AGAGGGGGCAACCCCUUGAGAGUGGCGAACGGGUGAGUAAUAUAUCGGAACGUGCCCAGUCGUGGGGGAUAACGUAGCGAAAGUUACGCUAAUACCGCUUACGAUCUACGGAUGAAAGCGGGGGACUCGCAAGAGCCUCGCGCGAUUGGAGCGGCCGAUAUCAGAUUAGGUAGUUGGUGGGGUAAAGGCUCACCAAGCCAACGAUCUGUAGCUGGUCUGAGAGGACGACCAGCCACACUGGAACUGAGACACGGUCCAGACUCCUACGGGAGGCAGCAGUGGGGAAUUUUGGACAAUGGACGCAAGUCUGAUCCAGCCAUUCCGCGUGCAGGAUGAAGGCCCUCGGGUUGUAAACUGCUUUUGUACGGAACGAAAAGGUUUGUCUUAAUACGAUGAGCUCAUGACGGUACCGUAAGAAUAAGCACCGGCUAACUACGUGCCAGCAGCCGCGGUAAUACGUAGGGUGCAAGCGUUAAUCGGAAUUACUGGGCGUAAAGCGUGCGCAGGCGGUUAUGUAAGACAGAGGUGAAAUCCCCGGGCUCAACCUGGGAACUGCCUUCAAAACUGCUGAGCUAGAGUACGGUAGAGGGUGGUGGAAUUUCCUGUGUAGCGG
rnacentral:rRNA from 1 species